UAAGAACAACAAAUUAAAAUUAGGUACAUGUUCCAAAACAUUUUCUUUGUAUUUAGUCUUUAAUUCCGAGCAGAAAUAUUAGAGAGGUAGAAAUAAGAACUGAUUAUAGAGUAUCCCCUGCAACUGUAUAUUUUAUAUCUGGAAUUCUAGCUACAUGUACACAUAUUUUAGUAUUAUUAUUAUUAUCGCCAUUUAUAUAGCGCCAACAGAUUCCAUAGUGCUUUACAAUAUUAUGAGAGUGGGGAUUUAACUAUAAAUAGGACAUUUACAAAAAACUUACGGGAAAAAUAAGUUGAAGAGGACCCUGCUCAAUAGAGCUUAC